CAGGUCAGCAUACUGCCGUGAAUACGUUCCCGGGCCCUUGUACACACCGCCCGUCACACCAUGAGAGUUGGGAAUACCCGAAGCCUGUGAGCUAACAUUAAGAGGCAGCAGUCGAAGGUAGAAUCAAUGAUUGGGGUGAAGUCGUAACAAGGUACC
rnacentral:rRNA from 1 species